UACGUAGGGUGCAAGCGUUGUCCGGAAUUAUUGGGCGUAAAGAGCUCGUAGGCGGUCUGUCGCGUCGGCUGUGAAAACCCGGGGCUCAACCCCGGGCCUGCAGUCGAUACGGGCAGACUAGAGUGCGGUAGGGGAGACUGGAAUUCCUGGUGUAGCGGUGAAAUGCGCAGAUAUCAGGAGGAACACCAGCGGCGAAGGCGGCGCUCUGGGCCGGAACUGACGCUGAGGAGCGAAAGCGUGGGUAGCAAACAGG
rnacentral:rRNA from 1 species